AACGAACGCUGGCGGCAGGCCUAACACAUGCAAGUCGAACGCCCUGGCAACAGGGAGUGGCAGACGGGUGAGUAACGCGUGGGAACGUGCCCUUCGGUUCGGAAUAACUCAGGGAAACUUGAGCUAAUACCGAAUACGUGCGAGAGCAGAAAGAUUUAUCGCCGAAGGAUCAGCCCGCGUCCGAUUAGCUAGUUGGUGAGGUAAUGGCUCACCAAGGCGACGAUCGGUAGCUGGUCUGAGAGGAUGAUCAGCCACACUGGGACUGAGACACGGCCCAGACUCCUACGGGAGGCAGCAGUGGGGAAUAUUGGACAAUGGGCGCAAGCCUGAUCCAGCCAUGCCGCGUGAGUGAUGAAGGCCCUAGGGUUGUAAAGCUCUUUCGCCAGGGGCGAUAAUGACGGUACCUGGAUAAGAAGCCCCGGCUAACUUCGUGCCAGCCGCCGCCGUAA
rnacentral:rRNA from 1 species